GGCUCGUUGGUGUAGUUGGUUAUCACGUCAGUCUAACAGAGCGCUUCACAGCACUCCUUAGCACACUGAAGGUCCGGAGUUCAAACCUCCGAUGAGUCA
rnacentral:tRNA from 1 species